UACGAAGGGGGCUAGCGUUGCUCGGAAUUACUGGGCGUAAAGGGCGCGUAGGCGGCACUGUUAGUCAGGCGUGAAAGCCCCGGGCUCAACCUGGGAACCGCGCUUGAGACUGGAGAACUAGAGUUCGGGAGAGGAUGGUGGAAUUCCCAGUGUAGAGGUGAAAUUCGUAGAUAUUGGGAAGAACACCGAUGGCGAAGGCAGCCAUCUGGACCGACACUGACGCUGAGGCGCGAAAGCGUGGGGAGCAAACAGG
rnacentral:rRNA from 1 species